rnacentral:rRNA from 1 species
AGUGAAUAGAUACCCUGGUAGUCCCGGCCCUAAACUGUGCGCAUUUGCUGUGAGCGGAAAUCGACCCCGCUCGUGGCGGAGCUAACGCGUUAAAUGCGCCGCCUGGGGAGUACGGCCGCAAGGUUAAAACUCAAAGAAAUUGACGGGGGCCUGCACAAGCGGUGGAGUAUGUGGCUUAAUUCGAUGCAACGCGAAGAACCUUACCUGGCCUUGACAUGUAGGUAGUAGGAGCCUGAAAGGGUAACGACUCCGCAAGGAGAGCCUGCACAGGUGCUGCAUGGCUGUCGUCAGCUCGUGUCGUGAGAUGUUGGGUUUAAGUCCCGCAACGAGCGCAACCCCUGUGUCCUGUUGCCACCGGAACGAGAGUUCCGAGCACUCUGGACAGACUGCCCCGUCCAAACGGGGAGGAAGGUGGGGAUGACGUCAAGUCAGUAUGGCCCUUACGGCCAGGGCUGCACACGUACUACAAUGCCCGGUACAAAGGGAAGCAAGGCGGCAACGCGGAGCAAAUCCCAAAAACCGGGGCCCAGUUCAGAUUGUCGGCU